rnacentral:rRNA from 1 species
AGUGAACGCUGGCGGUAGGCCUAACACAUGCCAGUCGAACGGCAGCACAGUAAGAGCUUGCUCUUACGGGUGGCGAGUGGCGGACGGGUGAGGAAUACAUCGGAAUCUACUUUUUCGUGGGGGAUAACGUAGGGAAACUUACGCUAAUACAGCAUACGACCUACGGGUGAAAGCAGGGGAUCUUCGGACCUUGCGCGAAUGAAUGAGCCGAUGUCGGAUUAGCUAGUUGGCGGGGUAAAGGCCCACCAAGGCGGCGAUCCGUAGCUGGUCUGAGAGGAUGAUCAGCCACACUGGAACUGAGACACGGUCCAGGCUCCUACGGGAGGCAGCAGUGGGGAAUAUUGGACAAUGGGCGCAAGCCUGAUCCAGCCAUACCGCGUGGGUGAAGAAGGCCUUCGGGUUGUAAAGCCCUUUUGUUGGGAAAGAAAAGCAGCAGGUUAAUACCCCGCUGUUCUGACGGUACCCAAAGAAUAAGCACCGGCUAACUUCGUG